rnacentral:rRNA from 1 species
AUGCAAGUCCAGCGGAUCUUCAUUAGCUUGCUUUUGAAGAUCAGCGGCGGACGGGUGAGUAACACGUGGGCAACCUGCCUGUAAGACUGGGAUAACUUCGGGAAACCGGAGCUAAUACCGGAUAAUCCUUUCCCUCACAUGAGGGAAAGCUGAAAGACGGUUUCGGCUGUCACUUACAGAUGGGCCCGCGGCGCAUUAGCUAGUUGGUGAGGUAAUGGCUCACCAAGGCAACGAUGCGUAGCCGACCUGAGAGGGUGAUCGGCCACACUGGGACUGAGACACGGCCCAGACUCCUACGGGAGGCAGCAGUAGGGAAUCUUCCGCAAUGGACGAAAGUCUGACGGAGCAACGCCGCGUGAACGAUGAAGGCUUUCGGGUCGUAAAGUUCUGUUGUUAGGGAAGAACAAGUACCGGAGUAACUGCCGGUACCUUGACGGUACCUAACCAGAAAGCCACGGCUAACUACGUGCCAGCAGCCGCGGUAAUACGUAGGUGGCAAGCGUUGUCCGGCAUUAUUGGGCGUAAAGCGCGCGCAGGCGG